UACGGAGGGUGCAAGCGUUAAUCGGAAUUACUGGGCGUAAAGCGCACGCAGGUGGCUGAGUCAGUCGAUUGUGAAAGCCCUGGGCUUAACCUGGGAAUUGCAGUCGAUACUACUCAGCUAGAGUAUGGGAGAGGGUAGUGGAAUUCCCGGUGUAGCGGUGAAAUGCGCAGAUAUCAGGAGGAACACCGGUGGCGAAGGCGGGUCUCUGGGCCGAUACUGACGCUGAGGGGCGAAAGCGUGGGGAGCGAACAGG
rnacentral:rRNA from 1 species